rnacentral:rRNA from 1 species
UACGAAGGGGGCUAGCGUUGCUCGGAAUCACUGGGCGUAAAGGGCGCGUAGGUGGUUGCGUAAGUGAGAUGUGAAAGCCCCGGGCUCAACCUGGGAACUGCAUCUUAUACUGCGCAGCUGGAGUGAAGUAGAGGGUAGUGGAAUUUCCGGUGUAGCGGUGAAAUGCGUAGAUAUCAGGAGGAACACCGGUGGCGAAGGCGGGUCUCUGGGCCGAUACUGACGCUGAGGAGCGAAAGCGUGGGGAGCGAACAGG